ACAGUUAGUUCAGUGGUAGAAUACCUGAUUGUGACUCAGGUUGUCAUUGGUUCGAUUCCAAUACU
rnacentral:tRNA from 1 species